GAUGAACGCUGGCGGCGUGCCUAAUACAUGCAAGUCGAGCGAACAGACGAGGAGCUUGCUCCUCUGACGUUAGCGGCGGACGGGUGAGUAACACGUGGAUAACCUACCUAUAAGACUGGGAUAACUUCGGGAAACCGGAGCUAAUACCGGAUAAUAUAUUGAACCGCAUGGUUCAAUAGUGAAAGACGGUUUUGCUGUCACUUAUAGAUGGAUCCGCGCCGCAUUAGCUAGUUGGUAAGGUAACGGCUUACCAAGGCAACGAUGCGUAGCCGACCUGAGAGGGUGAUCGGCCACACUGGAACUGGGACACGGUCCAGACUCCUACGGGAGGCAGCAGUAGGGAAUCUUCCGCAAUGGGCGAAAGCCUGACGGAGCAACGCCGCGUGAGUGAUGAAGGUCUUCGGAUCGUAAAACUCUGUUAUUAGGGAAGAACAAAUGCGUAAGUAACUAUGCACGUCUUGACGGUACCUAAUCAGAAGGCCACGGCUAACUACGUG
rnacentral:rRNA from 1 species